CCUACGGGAGGCUGCAGUAGGGAAUGUUGCGCAAUGGGGGAAACCCUGACGCAGCAACGCCGCGUGAUCGAUGAAGCCCUUCGGGGUGUAAAGAUCUGUCAGUGGGGACGAAACCUGACGGUACCCACAGAGGAAGCACCGGCUAACUCCGUGCCAGCAGCCGCGGUAAUACGGGGGGUGCAAGCGUUGUCCGGAAUCAUUGGGCGUAACGAGGUCGUAGGUGGCACGUUAAGGCUGGUGUGAAAGGCGGACGCUCAACUUCCGUAGGGCACUGGAUACUGGCGAGCUUGACUGCGGUAGAGGUAACGGGAUUUCCUGGUGUAGCGGUGACAUGCGUAGAUAUCAGGAGGAACAUCGGUGGCGUACGCGCUUUACUGGGCCGUAAUUGACACUGAGGAACGCAAGCCGGGGUAGCAAAUGGGAUUAGAUACCCGAGUAGUC
rnacentral:rRNA from 1 species